GGCUCUGUGGCGCAAUGGAUAGCGCAUUGGACUUCUAGGCUAAUCAUUUAAGAGAUUCAAAGGUUGUGGGUUCGAGUCCCACCAGAGUCG
rnacentral:tRNA from 1 species